UCUUCGGAGAGUUUGAUCCUGGCUCAGGAUGAACGCUGGCGGCGUGCCUAAUACAUGCAAGUCGAGCGAACUGAUUAGAAGCUUGCU
rnacentral:rRNA from 1 species